GACGAACGCUGGCGGCGUGCUUAACACAUGCAAGUCGAACGAUGAAGAAAAGAAUCGAAGCUUCGGCAGAAAUUCAUUUCGGAUUAGUGGCAGACGGGUGAGUAACGCGUGAGCAACCUACCUCUUACAAAGGGAUAGCCUCGGGAAACCGGGAUUAAUACCAUAUAACAUUGCGACGAAGCAUUUCGAUGCAAUCAAAGCUACGGCGGUAAGAGAUGGGCUCGCGUCCCAUUAACCGCAUGGUGAGGUAACGGCUCACCAUAGUGACGAUGGGUAACCGGCCUGAGAGGGUGAACGGUCACACUGGAACUGAGACACGGUCCAGACUCCUACGGGAGGCAGCAGUGGGGAAUAUUGCACAAUGGAGGGAACUCUGAUGCAGCGACGCCGCGUGAGUGAUGAAGGAAUUCGUUUCGUAAAACUCUGUUCUAUGGGAAGAAAAGGACUGUACCAUAGGAGAAAGCUCCGGCUAAAUACGUG
rnacentral:rRNA from 1 species